rnacentral:rRNA from 1 species
AGUGAACGCUGGCGGUAGGCCUAACACAUGCAAGUCGAACGGCAGCACAGUAAGAGCUUGCUCUUACGGGUGGCGAGUGGCGGACGGGUGAGGAAUACAUCGGAAUCUACUUUUUCGUGGGGGAUAACGUAGGGAAACUUACGCUAAUACCGCAUACGACCUACGGGUGAAAGCAGGGGAUCUUCGGACCUUGCGCGAUUGAAUGAGCCGAUGUCGGAUUAGCUAGUUGGCGGGGUAAAGGCCCACCAAGGCGACGAUCCGUAGCUGGUCUGAGAGGAUGAUCCCCCACACUGCAACUGAGACACGGUCCAUGCUCCUCCGCGACGCCCCGGUGCCGACUCUUGGUCAACGGGCGCACGCCUGAUCCAGCCAUACCCCGUGGGUUAAGCCGCCCUUCGGGUCUUAGCGCCCUUUUGUUCGGUAUGAAACGCCGCCAGUUCCUCCCCCGCUGUUCUGACGGUACCCAAAGAAUAAGCACCGGCUAACUUCGUG